UCAGUUUCAUUAUCUUUUCAAUUUGGCAAUGCCAGGUCUAGCGCAGCGUGUGCACUGCCGUUUCCCAGUGGAGAUUCAUGUGUUUUCCUCUGUUAUUACAGGGCUGUGCUACUUCCAAUUAUUUAGGACAUCGAAUGAUGCAGCAGAUCACUUCUUGCUUCGUUUAGAAAACUAAUAUAUUGCAGUCGGUAGUUCCUCCCAACAGGCGCGUUAAACUGAAAUACCCAUAACUACCAUUGCUUAAUAAAAUCUAAGAACGGGACAACAAACCAGUCAGCUUUGUGCGCAUCGGUCCCAGACCACCGAGAAAGAAUACAACAUUAUCGGGAGUUCGGGCCACGAAGCAAUCGCCGUCAAUCAUCGUGUUGUCAGGCCGGGGGGCCAUGGUCAGUGCUCGCAGUGGGUCAGGCGCCCUCAUGAGCGUAAUCUAGCGGACGUCAUUGAACUUGGCGACGUUUUUGCUAGAAGACAAGGUCAAGACAUCGAUCCGAUUGUAACAUGACGGAAACAGAUAUCAACAGAUCCUCGCUGAGGAUUCUGACGCAAAUUGGUUUCAUCGAAAUUCGUAAGCCGAAUGGCCAGCAAAUUAGGAUUUUUUAAGGAUUUCUCCAACUAUUCUGUCAAACUGGAACAGUUACAGGAAUCAUAGGAAUGGAUUAAAGUUGUCAUCAUUUGCAUAAUGCUCAUUUUCACUUAUGGACAAUAUUUUCACAUCAUGAAAACAACACUAACAUUCAAGUAAAAAAAAAUUUGCUUUUGACUGGAAAAACCUGGUAGCUAUCACAUGUCUCUCGAAGUCCCAAUGACCUUUGGGUUCUACUGCCAUUGAAAUCAAAACGAAAAAGGAUCAAUUUUGGAUCACAUUACAUGGAGUGUCUUAUUAGUCCAAAGAAACUUGCAACUUUAAAAUAAACUUGUAGAAGGUAGCUAAAAAACUUGCAUAGCAGAAGACAAAUUUGGCAAAUUGAAGAGAAUAUACAAAAUGAAAAACUAAAAUGAAUAUGUUAAAUUGAAAAACUAUAGAAGAUAUAAUUUGACAUUUAAUAAAGCUUGGAAGAAAACUCUAA